rnacentral:rRNA from 1 species
ACUAUGCUUGGCCCUAAACCUCAGUAGUUAGAUAACAAAACUACUCGCCAGAAUACUACAAGCAACAGCUUGAAACUCAAAGGACUUGACGGUGCUUUACAUCCCCCUAGAGGAGCCUGUUCUAUAAUCGAUAAACCCCGAUCCACCCCACCCUCUCUUGCUCAGCCUAUAUACCGCCAUCUUCAGCAAACCCUAAUGAAGGUCACAAAGUGAGCGCAAACGCCGCCGCCGCCGCGAAUACGUUAGGUCAAGGUGUAGCCUAUGAGACGGUAAAAAAUGGGCUACAUUUUCUAUCUCAGAAAAUUCCACGAAAACCCUUAUGAAAUUUAAAGGUCUAAGGAGGAUUUAGCAGUAAAUUAAGAAUAGAGUGCUUAAUUGAACCAGGCCAUAAAGCGCGCACACACCGCCCGUCACUCCUCUCAAAUAUACUUAAGGAAUAUCUUAACUAAACGCCCUAAUAUUUAUAUAGAGAGGAUAAGUCGUAACAUGGUAAGCGUACUGGAAGGUGCGCUUGGAUAAAU